AGGAUUCUUGGGACUCUGCUGUGAGGGUGUAAUAUUUACAUCCCUGAUUCGAAAUUGUGCUUGCUAUUGUACAUUGGGUUGAUAUCUUAGCAAGAGCAUUUUUUUUCUUUAGAAAGUAACAGGUGGAUCAUUCUAUUUUUCUUUUGAUUUGUGUACAAUUUCUGUGUUUUUCUUUUUAGGAUUAUUGUUGGAUUUCUUUUGUCCUCAAAGGGAAGGAGGCACUUUGAAUCUCAUGUAUUACUUGUAUUUAUAUGAAAAAGAUACUAGUGCUGAGCUGAAGCAUUGCCAAUUGAAUUAUUUACAAUUAAAAAUAAGUAAUUAAAUAAAUAUUAACUAUGGAAGGUAAUUUCUGAAACCAACUUGAAAGAAACAUCAAACCACCACAUCGUGUUUUUUUUAUCGGAUAUACAGAAAAAUGUCGCAUGGCAUACGUAAGAAAAUAAAGGUUCUCUAGAUUUCAAAAUACUAUUAUUUAAUGUUUAUUAUUUCCAUUUAUAGAACUAAUCCAAUAAAUUGAGAGUUAGGUGCACUGAAAGUCACUACUGUAUGAUCAAUAAAGGUCUUUGCAAUGUAAAGAUGUAAGAAACUCACGUUGCGCCAGUCAAUACGGCAAACAAGACAGUGAGGAUCUUCCCUCCAGUAUAACCUUUGUCGAUUAUUAGCUUUCCACCAUACCAAAAUGCUAGACCAUAGCUGCUAAAUAAGAUGCAAAAGACAGAGCCCAUGCCAAAACCAUUUAUAAGGCCUUCCUCAAUAACAGUCUUGUAAGCCUUUUUAAUGAAAUUAUUGUACGAUGCUAUGGCUUUCUUCUCACCGUUGAAGGACACAACCUGUUCACAUGAUAGUUGCUAACUUAAUUAUUUCCAUUUACCGAAUAAUUUAUAAAAUUUGAAUUAACUAAGAAAUUGAUUUAAAUUUGAAUAACUGAUGUAAUUUGAACUCACUGUUCGUAUAGAUGCAAUUGUCUGUUCGACUGUAUCUGCAGCAUCACUAUACGAUGUUAGUCUCUUGCUAGAAACCCGGGUUAGCAUCUGUGCAGACACUGCACCAGCGAUCGCAACUAGCGGUAGUGAUGUUAACAUGACAAGGGUCAGGAGCCAGCCUCUUGUGAAUGCUAUGAUAAAACCACCAACGAAAGCAGAUGUGAGUUCUACAAGCUUCCCUGCCUGUAAAUGAGAAUGCAUGAAUGUAUGAAAUACACUUCUAAAAAUAACACAAAUACUUAUGUAGUUGCAAAAAUAUUAUGAAAGUAAAAAAACGCUCAAGCUUGCCAUUAACUUGUGCGUGCAGUUAGUGCACACCUUGCAAUGUGAUGAAAUAUUAUAUUUCUUUAUUUAGUACCCCAAAGAAAGUAUUACCUUCUCACCAAGAGCAUCUUGAAUUAUGACUGUAUCGCUCGACAUCCUAGAAACUGCUUCACCGGUUGUCAUUUCUGUGUCGAAGAAUGCAAUAUCUUGCCUCAGAACUGAUUUCAGGUAAAAAGAGCGGAUGCGGGCUGACUGCCUUUCUCCUGCCAUCGUCCAGCAUGACACCUCUGGAGAAAAUGAAGAGUGAGCCUUUUUCCAAUGAUUAGGGAGGGAAACCUCCUCGGUUCCAUUGUAUCAAUGAAAUAUUCGGUUAUUAGGAUUGCAAAAGGCACUUCUCAUGGGAUGAAUACAUGAUAGAAUUCUCUGUUCUGAUUUCGUAUCUGCAUGUCCGUUACUCAAGCGAGAACAAAUUUGUGUCCUAGUUCCACAAUGUUCAGUUAUGGAAGUCUUCAAGUUGAAGUAUUUCCUCAUAAGUACUAUGGAAUAUUACAAAGGAAUAGUGAAAUAAAUAUCGAGAGAACUGAUUUUGAGUCUUAGAGCUAUAUGAUUGUGCAUCAGUGUUUCAUAUUUUCGUAAUAUAGUUAAGUUUGAUAUUGAAGCUUCACAAGUCUCCAUGGAGUUUUCACGGAGAAGGUGUUCUACGUAUAGAAUGGAGAUUGCACUUACGAAGAAAGGAAGCAACUGCUGUCCCAAUACCCAGAUAUACGAAGUUCAGCACAACCUGGAGAAAGAACAUUCGCUGUGAAUCGGGAAGCUACUCUUCAAGUGAGGUGAUCACUGUAGCCAUUGCGUACCUUGGUCACACGGCGGAGGACGUCGCUGCUGGUGCUCUCGCCGAAGGAGUUGAUGACGUUCCCAAAGAGCACCGAUAUGAGGGGCUGUGACACACCGUUGCCUAUCGCCCCCAGCGUGCCGACCACCAUCAACAGCACAUCGAUGCGGUCGGCGUACCUGAACAUGCCGAACAACGACACCUUCUUGGCUUCGUCCUUCUCCCGCCGGCCAUCGUUUCCUCGCUCGCCGCCGCCAUGGCGUGCUCCUUCUCCACUACUAUCUGCUGCUGCUGUCGCUUCCAUUUCCCGUCAGCUGGCUUUGCCGAUGUGCUGUACGAGCCCGGCCGCAGUGGGUCGCGUGUAGUUCCUGUCCCCGGGGAGUGGUGGAGGCAACUAUUUAUGCGCACUCUGCCGGCCUCUCGAAGUGCUUUGAUCGGCAAGGUAUAGCUGCUGGGUGCUUGGAAGCUGGAAGCGACCGGGAAAGUUUGCGAUGGAAAAGAACCAUACACGAAUGAGCAACAAGUCAAGUUCUACGAGAUUAUUAACAUGUGAUUAUCGGAAGAUUCGGAACUACUAGUACAGGUACAGGUGCAACAAGUCAAGUGCUGCGUGUCUCCUAGCUUUUUACAGAGCAGUCAAAUUAAAUGGGUUGCGUUUCUCUUGUAAUCUCCUCACAUCAUGCGCUAGCUUACCUAGCUGGGCUCUCUAUGGUUCACAAACCAAUUGUUCUUGGUGGGGGAAAUGAGUGGACCGAUAGUAAGCUGAUAUGACUAUCGAAUAUGGAUUAUAAUAAACUUCAAAAAGGGCUAAUGGGGUUCUAUUCA